UACGAAGGGGGCUAGCGUUGCUCGGAAUCACUGGGCGUAAAGCGCACGUAGGCGGACUCUUAAGUCGGUGGUGAAAUCCUGGAGCUCAACUCCAGAACUGCCUCCGAUACUGGGUAUCCUCGAGUCCGGGAAGAGGUGAGUGGAAUUCGAGUGUAGAGGUGAAAUUCGUAGAUAUUCGGAGGAACACCAGUGGCGAAGGCGGGUCUCUGGACAGUUCCUGACACUGAGGCACGAAGGCCAGGGGAGCAAACGGG
rnacentral:rRNA from 1 species